UACGUAGGUGGCGAGCGUUGUCCGGAAUUAUUGGGCGUAAAGAGCUCGUAGGCGGCUUGUCGCGUCGGAUGUGAAAGCCCGGGGCUUAACUCCGGGUCUGCAUUCGAUACGGGCAGGCUAGAGUCCGGAAGAGGAGAGUGGAAUUCCCGGUGUAGCGGUGAAAUGCGCAGAUAUCGGGAAGAACACCCGUGGCGAAGGCGGCUCUCUGGGACGGUACUGACGCUGAGACGCGAAAGCGUGGGGAGCGAACAGG
rnacentral:rRNA from 1 species